GCGGGAAUAGCUCAGUUGGUAGAGCACGACCUUGCCAAGGUCGGGGUCGCGAGUUCGAGUCUCGUUUC
rnacentral:tRNA from 1 species